rnacentral:rRNA from 1 species
AGGUUAAGCUAGAAAGGGCGCACGGUGGAUGCCUUGGCACUAGGAGCCGAUGAAGGACGGGGCAAACGCCGAAACGCUCCGGGGAGCUGUAAGCAAGCGUGGAUCCGGAGAUGUCCGAAUGGGGGAACCCACUGCUCGUAAUGGGGCA